AUGCUCUUUUUCCAGUGUUUGAUCAAAUGGGUUCAUCAUGUGAUGUAUGGUUGACAGAAUGCUCUGAACAUCUUUUUCAUCCUGUUCCUUUCUUUUCUCAUCCAAUUCUGUUCUCUGUCUUGUUGACAUGUUCUGCCCAGCCAUGUCCUUGACCUCCAUUGUGAUGGCUGCUCUCUCGUGCUGUGUCAGUGUCCACCUGUGGACUGCACCUUUGUUCAACGAAAAACCUGAAAAGAACCAUGGCAGCAUGAACCGGAUGCUGG